GCGAGAGUGGUGAAACUGGUAGACACGCCAGACUUAGGAUCUGGUGCCUUUGGCAUAGGGGUCCGAGUCCCCUCUCUCGCA
rnacentral:tRNA from 2 species